rnacentral:rRNA from 1 species
CCUACGGGUGGCAGCAGUGAGGAAUAUUGGUCAAUGGGCGGGAGCCUGAACCAGCCAAGUCGCGUGAGGGAAGACGGUCCUACGGAUUGUAAACCUCUUUUGCCGGGGAGCAACGGGGUCCUUGCGAGGGCCCGAUGAGAGUACCCGGAGAAAAAGCAUCGGCAAACUGCGUUCCAGCAGCGGCGGUAAUACGGAGGAUGCGAGCGUAAUCCGGAUUUAUUGGGAUUAAAGGGUGCGUAGGCGGGCCGUUAAGUCAGCGGUAAAAUGUCGGGGCUAAAACCCGGCCUGCAGUUGAAACUGGCGGCCUCGAGAGGGCUAGGGGUAUGCGGAAUGCGUGGUGUAGCGGUGAAAUGCAUAGAGAUCACGCAGAACUCCGAUUGCGAAGGCAGCAUACCGGCGCCGGACUGACGCUGAGGCACGAAAGCGUGGGUAUCGAACAGGAUUAGAUACCCUAGUAGUC